UACUGUGCCUGAGCAUUGCCUGUGUGUGUCCUGCACACCCUCCUGUCCCCGAGUGCCUCGGAGAUGGGCUCCCAGAGGGCAGAACCGCCAUCAAAGCCCGGCUGGCCUCCAGCUCAGAUGGAGUCAACGAUCUAUUCCCUCCUCCCAGUGAAAUCACAGUCUGAUGCAAACUUAGGAGAGGAGAAGCCUGCAUGA
rnacentral:lncRNA from 1 species